rnacentral:rRNA from 1 species
CCCUUAGAUGUUCUGGGCCGCACGCGCGCUACACUGAUGCAUUCAACGAGUCUAAAACCUGCUCUGAUAGGGGUGGGUAAUCUUUUGAAUGUGCAUCGUGAUUGGGAUAGAUGAUUGCAAUUUUUCAUCUUCAACGAGGAAUGCCUAGUAAACGCAAGUCAUCAGCUUGCAUUGAUUACGUCCCUGCCCUUUGUACACACCGCCCGUCGCUCCUACCGAUUGAAUGAUCCGAUGAAUAUCAUGGAUUGAGGAUGCAAGUAGGUUAGCCUAUCUUCAUCUUCGAGAAGUGAGGUAAAUCUUAUCAUUUAGAGGAAGGAGAAGUCGUAACA